rnacentral:rRNA from 1 species
UGGCGGGACGGGGUGGAGUAACGCGUGGGUAACCUGCCUCAUACAGGGGGAUAACAGUUAGAAAUGACUGCUAAUACCGCAUAAGACCACAGUACCGCAUGGUACAGGGGUAAAAACUCCGGUGGUAUGAGAUGGACCCGCGUCUGAUUAGGUAGUUGGUGGGGUAACGGCCUACCAAGCCGACGAUCAGUAGCCGACCUGAGAGGGUGACCGGCCACAUUGGGACUGAGACACGGCCCAA